GUUGCCAGAUUCCUUUUAGCGGGAAUUUUAAAAUUUUAUAGCAGGUUUGUUUUAAAUUUGACAGUUCUGUUUUCUCAAGUCAAAAAUCUUAACCUUACUUUUACAAGUGAUUAGGAUUAUUAUUAUUAUUUUAUUUACAUGUAAAUUGAAACAAUAAAUAUUGUGCUGUGUCAUAAUUUCAAACUCAUUAUGUUGCAGUCUUUCCAGUUGAUAAAAUUGCAAUUCAAAAACUUUUAGGUAGAUUUGCACUGUAUGGAUGGCACAGGAAGAGAACAAAGAGUACAAGAACAUGAAACAUCUUAUUAUGAAUGUAUAUGUAUGUGAUCCUCAAAAAAUUAUUUUACAAAACAAGAUAGAGAAAGAGCUUUAAAAUCCCAAGGAUCCUGCAAAAUGUUUAUUUGGUGUACUAGUCGAAUAAUAGUAUCUAAAAAUAUUGAAACUAUUUUAAAACACAUUACGGGCAUGAGGAUGAUAUAGAGCACUUACAUAAAUACCAAAAUCAGAUAAAUAUCUCUUCAAAGUUUAUUUUGAGACUUUCUUCAAAAAUUAAACUUCAGACUGUUCAGGAUAGCAUAAUAGCAUAGGAGGCGAAUUAAAAAGAAUUGAUUUACUUACAAAGAAAAGAUAUCACAAACAUUAAAAUGGGUAUAUGUACAAUGAUGAUGCAACCAGUGUUUAUUUUUGGGUUGAAUGCUUACAGACUUAUGUCCAAUAUUAUUUUACAAACAACAGGGCAUACUAAUGGAUAUUCAUUCUGAAUUUAACAUUUAUGAUUUUUGUCUUAUUUUCCUUAAUACUGUGCCAAAAGGAAAUGUUAAUUAAGUUUGGUAAAUCCUGUAUCGCAAUCGAUGGAACUCAUGGGCUCAAUUCCUAUGACUUUGAACUUAUGACAGUAUUAGUAAAAGAUGAAUUUGGGAAUGGAUUUUGUACUGCUUUCUUAUUUUCAAAUAGAAAAGAUACCUACUUUAAUUUACCAAUUUUUUUAAAUACAUGUCUGUGUUGGUAUUAUAGUCAAAUGUUUUCAUAUCAGGCAUAAGCGACACCUUUUACAACGCCUCGUCAAAUGUAAUGGGUAUUGCUCCUAAUAGACUGUUAAGUGCCUGGCACAUAGAUAAGGCAUGGUAAGUAAAUCUUAAUAAAAUAUCUGAUUCUGAAAAAAAUCCUAUUAUGUAUACAAGAUGUAUUAAUGAUGGUUUAGAGAGUAUUAAUAGCUUUUUGGGUAGACUUCUAAGUGAUGCAGAUACAUACAAUUUUAGUAAGUAUUUCCAGUAGAACUACUGCAAUAACAUCCAACAAUGGGCCUAUUGUUAUAGGAAGGGGUUGUGGAAUUAAUACCAAUAUGACCAUUCAAAAUUUUCAUAAAAUUUUGGAUAAAAGGGUAUCCAUUAGUUGUUAUCAGUUAAGUUUAAAACUUGGCACUCAUGGAGAGCUAUACCAUAAUAUAUAAUAGGUAUAUCUCAUAAUAUUACAUCUCAUAUUGUUCACUACAGUAGUAAUGAGUGAGCCUGCAUACACAGAACCAUAAUAAUAUAUUAGUUCGUGU